CAAAGGCUUUUCCACUUGAGACCAAUAUAUUUCCAUCUUUCAGAGUCUGGUUUGGCCCUAUUAUAUCGGUGGAACAGCAGUUUCGAAAAAGAAACAGUAGAAAGUAUGUCAAGAUUUCCUUCAGAUGAUACAUGGUUUGUUUCUAUAAUUUCCCUUUGACGAUCGAGGUAUAAAGAUUUAAUCCGUGGCCUCGAAUUAAGAACGUUGGGGCUUGGCUUCUAUCAUGCGUUAAUCAGUCUUAAAACAUUUGUUGGAUGUCCUCUUCAUGAUCUUAACCACACAUUUGACAUUAGCUGGGUUUCAGCCAUUCAUAUUAGUUUCAGAUGUCACAAAGCUUAUCUUUUCAGUUUUCCUAUUUUCUUUCUUCCCUAUGUUUGGGUUUAGAAAAUUCAAACUCAUUUACUUUUUAUUUUAAGUUUGGAGUUUGGGAAUUAUUUAUACCACUAGAGAAAGAUAAAUUUAUCCCCACCUUACAAUUUCAUGGGCAGCGUUAUCGAUGGAAAGAAGAAAAAUGGCUGUCCCAGAAAACCUACAGCCUUAAGGUCAAAUUCACGGGCUCAUUUAGCAUGAAUUUCUUGUGAUAGCAGCUUGUGAUUUUUACUCCGUGUACAUGAUUUUCUUGAUAAAGGGCACAACAACUGUAAAUUACUUCACCAAAUGGAUUAUUAAUUUUAAGAGGCACAAGCGAAAAUGAAAUCCUGUCGUUUCUGUAAUUUGAGUUAAUUCGCAGCCAUUUUAGGUGAAGUGGACCAUUUACUUAAAGACUCUUAAAUUCACACAGUCACUAGUGGACCAAUAUAUAGAUGACUUGAUUUACGGAAUAAAUAUGUGUUGCGUUGGACAUAAGGGAUUUAGCAAAAACUUGGUCAAAUAAUGUGACUUUUAUUUCUUCUCUAUGCAUUCCAAUCAUACGAUAGCAAUAGACUAACAACAGCAAUACAGAAGCGGAACUUCUUGUUUACUCAGCUAAAGCAAUAAUUUCCUCGGUAUUAAUAUAGAUUAAUUUACCACAAGAUGAUAGAAAAAGGAUUCUAUCAACCUCGUAAUAAUGUUACAGGCAUUUCAUUAGAA
rnacentral:lncRNA from 1 species